GACGAACGCUGGCGGCGUGCCUAAUACAUGCAAGUCGAGCGAGCUUGCCUAGAUGAUUUUAGUGCUUGCACUAAAUGAAACUAGAUACAAGCGAGCGGCGGACGGGUGAGUAACACGUGGGUAACCUGCCCAAGAGACUGGGAUAACACCUGGAAACAGAUGCUAAUACCGGAUAACAACACUAGACGCAUGUCUAGAGUUUGAAAGAUGGUUCUGCUAUCACUCUUGGAUGGACCUGCGGUGCAUUAGCUAGUUGGUAAGGUAAUGGCUUACCAAGGCGAUGAUGCAUAGCCGAGUUGAGAGACUGAUCGGCCACAUUGGGACUGAGACACGGCCCAAACUCCUACGGGAGGCAGCAGUAGGGAAUCUUCCACAAUGGACGAAAGUCUGAUGGAGCAACGCCGCGUGAGUGAAGAAGGGUUUCGGCUCGUAAAGCUCUGUUGGUAGUGAAGAAAGAUAGAGGUAGUAACUGGCCUUUAUUUGACGGUAAUUACUUAGAAAGUCACGGCUAACUACGUGCCAGCAGCCGCGGUAAUACGUAGGUGGCAAGCGUUGUCCGGAUUUAUUGGGCGUAAAGCGAGUGCAGGCGGUUCAAUAAGUCUGAUGUGAAAGCCUUCGGCUCAACCGGAGAAUUGCAUCAGAAACUGUUGAACUUGAGUGCAGAAGAGGAGAGUGGAACUCCAUGUGUAGCGGUGGAAUGCGUAGAUAUAUGGAAGAACACCGGUGGCGAAGGCGGCUCUCUGGUCUGCAACUGACGCUGAGGCUCGAAAGCAUGGGUAGCGAACAGG
rnacentral:rRNA from 1 species